UAUACUACUCUCCGAUGUGUUGGUGUUUGUCUGCUCCUGUGUGCCUGUCAGGAUGUCCCCUCAAUCACAAAGCACUACCAAUUUUGCUUUUAUAGCAACUAAUGGACAUUCUUCUGUGGCACAAGUGUUGGUUGGGAGCUUGUGAUCGUAAACAAAAUUGCUGAGCCCUGUUUAUGGGGCCCCGUUUGUAGCAUUCAGCUGCCAGCUGUGUUGUUUGUGUUUGCUAUAAGUUGUUAGAAAUGGCCACCUUUGUUGAGCUUAGAUCUUUGGCGCAUUUUCUUCACUUUAGCUAGAAAUUCCCAAUGAUUUUUAGAGAGUAUCUGCAAACUAUGAAGAAAAUAGGAGGCAGUAUGCAACAGGAACAGACACCUUGGAAUCCGUUUGCAACAGAAAAAUUAAAGAAGCCACAGCAUGCAGGAAACGCCACAGUCACCCUGCUUUCCCAGGAAGAAGGAACUUAAGAUGAAGGUGGCCGUGGCUUUUUCCUCUCCUGUCUUCUUUCGUGUCACAAAGAAUUAGAGGCAGAUUCUUCAUUGUCUCUGCCACGGUGCAGUGACAAGGUGCCAACUUCGCCGCUUCUCCCAACUGCUGCACAGACCCAAAGAGAACACGUCAUUUGUUAUUUCUGAGAGGGCAGAGCCGUCGUGUUUUACCCUGCUGCUUCCAACAGGGUUCAUCUCCAUUGUAUCCAAAUCUGGAUGGCACUUGGGUGAAGAAUUUUAAGGAUAGACAUGAGAGAUUUUUGAUGAAGGGGGAAAAAAAUGGACUUAGGAACAACAAAGUAGAAAAAUACAAUGUGAGAGAUUUAGAAGAAAAGUGAGGAAACCACCUGAGAGAAGAGGGGAGGGGAGGGGGGGAGGAAGGAGGGAACCGUUAGUUUCAAGGAAGAGGCAACCCUGAGUGAAUUUUAAAUUUUAAGAUGAUCCCUAUUAUGGGCUAUGAUGAAGCCUCAAAUCUUCUUGGAGAGCCUCUAGAGAUGCAUGUAAUAUUGUAGUAGAAAGCCACUUGGAGAUGCUUUGGAAGCUUCUUGAGGAGACAAGUGGUAUAGUUACUGUGAAUCCAAAUAAUUGCUUUUAGAAAGGUACAAAUGGAAUGGCAAUUGGAGUUCCAUAACUGAAGACAAAUAAAAUGUAUCAGACCUAAAACUCCUAGAUGUUCUAAACACUCACUUUUCAACAAUAGAAAAUUGCCAUGAUAUUAAAAUUCGGUAUCCUGGAAUCUGGUUCCCCUUUCUGACUGAAAUCACAGAAUAUCUUCACUUUUUGAUGGUGCAAAGUAAAACUUUUUUUUUCCUUUGUGGGCCUGCGACAUUGCAAGGAAUCAGGUUUUAAAGACAGUAAAACUACUAUAUUUUAUAUUUUAUAAACCUACAGUAAGGAUUAGAAAUAAUCUUUCCUUUCAUAAGUCACUUUGAGUUUACAGAAAUUGCCAAAUUGCAUAGAAGAACAGAAAGAAACAUCCCUGGGAUUUGAUUUUCAAAAAGAGCAAUUGUUCGGUGUACUACAAACUUUGUAGUUGGGACUCCAGAGAGAUGGGCUACUGGUAGGUGAUAAAAAUCUUAGACAGGUGAUAAAUAUGCUGUUUGUAAGCCUUCCUAUGAAGAGGAUUGGUUUUUGAGAAUGUUGCUGUCUAAAAAACUUAUUUUCAUAUUUUCUGGGGCUUCAUUAUGUCACAAGAAAUUUUUUGCUUCUUCGGACAAAUUGCACAAAAGAUGAUGUAUUUUAAUAUCAUAAUGUCUUAAUACCAUACAUUUAUGUUUUCACCUCCAAAUUAAACUGAUCAAGAGAUAUCAGACAAAUACCAAAAGAACAAAAUACAUCACUGAUUUUUCAACCUCCAGCCUGUAAAAGCACGAUUCGCCCAACUAUCUGAAUAUUGAUUACUCUUUUUUUCUCCGUACAUAAAGAUCUCAGAUGGUUAUAGCCCAAUUACAAUUAAACACAUAAUCUGUCUGCUUAG